rnacentral:rRNA from 1 species
GACGAACGCUGGCGGCGUGCCUAAUACAUGCAAGUCGAACGAAGUGGGGACGGGUGAGUAACACGUGGGUAACUUCCCAUCAGAGGGGAUAACACUUGGUAACAGGUGCUAAACCGACACCGAUGGAUGGGCUUGCGGGGCAGUAGCUAGUUGGUGAGGUGACGGCCGACCAAGACAACGAUGCAUAGCCGUCUGGGAAGGAUGAUCGGCAAAACUGGGACUGAGACACGGCCCAGACUCCUACGGGAGGCAGCAGUGGGGAAGCUUCGGCAAUGGACGAAAGUCUGACCGAGCAACGCAGCGUGAGUGAAGAAGGUUUUCGGCUCGUAAAGCUCUGAUGUUAGAGAAGCGGUAUCUGACCAAAAAGCCACGGCUAACUACGUGCCAGCCGCCGCGGUAAUAC